rnacentral:rRNA from 1 species
CCUACGGGCGGCAGCAGUGAGGAAUAUUGGUCAAUGGACGAGAGUCUGAACCAGCCAAGUAGCGUGAAGGAUGACUGCCCUAUGGGUUGUAAACUUCUUUUAUAUGGGAAUAAAACGUUCCACGUGUGGGAUUUUGUAUGUACCAUAUGAAUAAGGAUCGGCUAACUCCGUGCCAGCAGCCGCGGUAAUACGGAGGAUCCGAGCGUUAUCCGGAUUUAUUGGGUUUAAAGGGAGCGUAGGUGGAUUGUUAAGUCAGUUGUGAAAGUUUGCGGCUCAACCGUAAUAUUGCAGUUGAAACUGGCAGUCUUGAGUACAGUAGAGGUGGGCGGAAUUCGUGGUGUAGCGGUGAAAUGCUUAGAUAUCACGAAGAACUCCGAUUGCGAAGGCAGUUCACUGGACUGCAACUGACACUGAGGCUCGAAAGUGUGGGUAUCAAACAGGAUUAGAUACCCCAGUAGUC